GUGCAUGGUAGGCAGUUUGACUGGGGCGGUCUCCUCCCAAAGCGUAACGGAGGAGUACGAAGGUACGCUAGGUACGGUCGGAAAUCGUGCUGAUAGUGCAAUGGCAUAAGCGUGCUUAACUGCGAGACCGACAAGUCGAGCAGGUGCGAAAGCAGGUCAUAGUGAUCCGGUGGUUCUGUAUGGAAGGGCCAUCGCUCAACGGAUAAAAGGUACUCUGGGGAUAACAGGCUGAUACCGCCCAAGAGUUCAUAUCGACGGCGGUGUUUGGCACCUCGAUGUCGGCUCAUCUCAUCCUGGGGCUGUAGCCGGUCCCAAGGGUAUGGCUGUUCGCCAUUUAAAGAGGUACGUGAGCUGGGUUUAAAACGUCGUGAGACAGUUUGGUCCCUAUCUGCCGUGGGCGUUGGAUAUUUGAAGGGGGCUGCUCCUAGUACGAGAGGACCGGAGUGGACGAACCUCUGGUGUACCGGUUGUCACGCCAGUGGCAUCGCCGGGUAGCUAUGUUCGGAAGAGAUAACCGCUGAAAGCAUCUAAGCGGGAAACUCGCCUUAAGAUGAGAUAUCCCUGGAGGCUAGACCUCCUUGAAGGGUCGUUCGAGACCAGGACGUUGAUAGGUCAGGUGUGUAAGCGCAGUAAUGCGUUCAGCUAACUGAUACUAAUUGCCCGUAAGGCUUGAUCCUAUAACA
rnacentral:rRNA from 1 species